rnacentral:lncRNA from 1 species
AAAGCUCUCCCCUCCCCUGCUCAUCCGGUCAUCGGCCGAUCAUCGGCCACCGCGCCGGCCGCCGAUCUCCAGCGCCGGCACCGCUGUCUGCGGUGGUCAGAAAAGGGGAAAAUUCCCAACUUGGUUUUUUCGACCCCUCUAAGCCCGGAUCUGGAUUUAAAAUCCUCAAACAGUAAGAGAAAAAGCCUCAAAAGCCCCAAAAACCUUUCGAUUUUCGACCGUCUUUCCUCGGAGACGGCUUCCUCGGCCUUUCACGUCGAUUUGGGCUCAAAACACAGGUUAUUUCUCUCUUUUCUCUUAUUUAUUUUAUUCGUAUGUAUAUAAAUGGUAAAAAAAAUAUAACAGUAAAAAAUAAAUAAAAACUGCAAAUAGCAACCUUUGAUCGAUUUUUGCUCUCUGGAUUGCGAAAGUAAUAGCUUUUUUAUUUUAUUUCCGAAUCGGGGAUCCAUUUAUAGUGUGUUAAUGGCUUUUUUAUAGCCAUAAUAAAAAUAAAGAAGCAAAUCAUAUUCAAUAUCUUCUUGAUCUGUGAUCUUUGAUUUUAUUUCCUUUUGUGUUUAUUUCUUACAGGUGAAGGCGUGGAGAUCUGGCUCGUGCGAGGCUCGGCUUGCGGCGCUGGUUCUCCCCUGAAACCCUAGGGUUUAUUCAUCUGUUUUGGGCCACUGUAUUCGGGCCUCUGCUCAUUUUGGAUCUUACAGACCCGUUUAUAUUUUGGGCCUUCUACCUGGGCCAAAAUCGGGUAUUACAUCAACUAUACCCAGAGUCUAUCCAAUUUUG